GGGAGUCCUGACCUAGCACCUGUUUGACCCUAAUAGCAGCAUAAAGCCCCUAACAUUUGACCUACCAGGAUCAUUGGGACAAACAAGCUGCUCCACUACAAUAAGGCCAGGAGAGGGAGGAAGAAACCUCAGCCAAUCGUAACUGACUACAUCCUAACAGACGGAAAUGUGGUGCAGGUAGAUGCUGGUUGUGGUCCAUGGAAGAAAUGACUCUAUAAACAGCGACUGUGGCUCACCAUCAUGUUAAAUGGUGACCAUUUGACCAUGAUCACUGGCAGAAGAUACACUGCACUGCAAUUCACCAUCUUAUCCAGUGCUAGAUCAUGAGGAUCUGGACCUUCUUGAAGCUGACUGAGGUUCUGCAGGAGUUGGAAGUUGAAACUCCCUCUCACAGGGGAUGUUCCAAACAGACCAUCACUCUCAGUUUGGGUCUGGCUGACUGGCAUCUUCUCCCACUAUCGGAACUAACAAACCACCUGGUUGGGAUUGGUAUAGCUAGCUCUGCCCCUCUCUUUACCCGAAUAUCCAAGACAUGUGGCUACAAGUCUGAUGACACCACCACAAAGGUGAUCUUCCAACUGCGGCUGAGGGUGUUCUGGUGCCGUGUGCACAUAUGGACACCCUUAUGUUUGAACACAGUGUUCUUUAUGGACAAUCCAUGAUGAAAACUAUGCACCCCUUGGGGCAUGGGGGAGGACAUGUUCCUCCCAGCAGGAACACUCUAUGAAUACUCCAGAA